UGGCUCACCACCAGGCGACGCGAAUCGUAGGCUGGUCGAGAGGAGUGAUCAGGCCACUCGACUGAAACCGCCGACUCCUACGGAGCAGGCAGUGGGAAUAUUGACAUGGCGAAAGCUGAUCCAGCCAUGCCGCGUGUUUGAGAGCUCGGGUGUAAAGCACUUUCAGUGGGAAGAAAGCUGGGGCUAAUACCCUCGAGGAAGGACAUCACCCACAGAAGAAGCACCGGCUAACUCCGUGCCAGCAGCCGCGGUAAUACGGAGGGUGCGAGCGUUAAUCGGAAUUACUGGGCGUAAAGCGCGCGUAGGCGGUCUGAUAAGCCGGUUGUGAAAGCCCCGGGCUCAACCUGGGAACGGCAUCCGGAGCUGUCAGGCUAGAGUGCAGGAGAGGAAGGUAGAAUUCCCGGUGUAGCGGUGAAAUGCGUAGAGAUCGGGAGGAAUACCAGUGGCGAAGGCGGCCUUCUGGACUGACACUGACGCUGAGGUGCGAAAGCGUGGGUAGCAAACAGGAUUAGAUACCCUGGUAGUCCACGCCGUAAACGAUGUCGACUAGCCGUUGGGCUCCUUGAGAGCUUUGUGGCGCAGUUAACGCGAUAAGUCGACCGCCUGGGGAGUACGGCCGCAAGGUUAAAACUCAAAUGAAUUGACGGGGGCCCGCACAAGCGGUGGAGCAUGUGGUUUAAUUCGAUGCAACGCGAAGAACCUUACCUACCCUUGACAUCGUGCGAACUUUCCAGAGAUGGAUUGGUGCCUUCGGGAGCGCACAGACAGGUGCUGCAUGGCUGUCGUCAGCUCGUGUUGUGAAAUGUUGGGUUAAGUCCCGUAACGAGCGCAACCCUUGUCCUUAUUUGCCAGCGCGUAAUGGCGGGAACUCUAAGGAGACUGCCGGUGACAAACCGGAGGAAGGUGGGGACGACGUCAAGUCAUCAUGGCCCUUACGGGUAGGGCUACACACGUGCUACAAUGGCCGGUACAAAGGGUUGCGAAGCCGCGAGGUGGAGCUAAUCCCGAAAAGCUGGUCUCAGUCCGGAUCGGAGUCUGCAACUCGACUCCGUGAAGUCGGAAUCGCUAGUAAUCGUGAAUCAGAAUGUCACGGUGAAUACGUUCCCGGGCCUUGUACACACCGCCCGUCACACCAUGGGAGUGGACUGCACCAGAAGUGGUUAGCCUAACUUCGGAGGGCGAUCACCACGGUGUGGUUCAUGACUGGGGUGAAGUCGUAACAAGGUAACCAAUCUCUAGAGUCCCCGACCAGGACG
rnacentral:rRNA from 1 species